rnacentral:rRNA from 1 species
AACGAACGCUGGCGGCAUGCCUAACACAUGCAAGUCGAACGAGACCUUCGGGUCUAGUGGCGCACGGGUGCGUAACGCGUGGGAACCUGCCCUUAGGUUCGGAAUAACUCCCCGAAAGGGGUGCUAAUACCGGAUAAUGUCUUCGGACCAAAGAUUUAUCGCCUUUGGAUGGGCCCGCGUUGGAUUAGCUAGUUGGUAGGGUAAAAGCCUACCAAGGCGACGAUCCAUAGCUGGUCUGAGAGGAUGAUCAGCCACACUGGGACUGAGACACGGCCCAGACCCCUAGGGGGGGAGGGGGGGGGAAAUAUUGGACAGGGGGCAAAGGCUGAACACAGCAGGGCCGGGGGAGUAAAAAGGGCUUAGGGUUGGAAAAUCUUUUUUCCCGGGAAGGAAAAGGACAGUCCGGGGAAAAAAGCCCCGGCCAACCCCCGUC